rnacentral:lncRNA from 1 species
GUCUUGUUUUAGUUCUGUACCCUGAGGAUAUACCGGUUGGGAACCAGGAACUCCUUUCACUCCUGAGAAGGAUCAUCCGAUACAUCCAGAUUAAGGUAUUGAAUUGCAACAUGCUCCUUCAAAACCAUGUCAUAAGCAUGAAGUAGUUCACAUAAAGGCCUGUUUAGGGGACUCGGUUGCCCUGAAGGUCUGAGCUUAACUUGAUUAUGUGCAACCAAAUACAGGCUUCAUGCCUCGAUGCAAUCUCACAGAGCAUAUAUACAGUGUAAUCCAAAUGUCAUAUUUUUUUUAUUUUCUUAAUUUUAUUGCCUAAAUGUCAUGCAUGGGAUAUAUACAUGUAUUUUCUUUCCUUUGUAGUUUGUCUCUGGUAUACAGAUAUCAGGAGAAUCAUUUUUUUUUAAAUCUGUUUUCUCAAAAAAUUCAGUUCUCCUUAAAUCUGACAUAAUCAUGUUAAUUUUUUUCCCUUUAGAAAGAGUCAUCACAGUCCAUAGAGAGCCCACCGUGGUGAGACGGGUUAUUGAGGGCCCAACAACAAUUAAGAAGGUCACCCGUGUGAUUGAAGGUCAGCCCUCUGUCACUACGGUUACUAGAGUCAUCGGAGGGGAUUCUUCUGUUACCACAGUCCUUAAAAGAUUUGAACGAGGACCCUGGAGAAAUCACCAGACACAUUCAAGGGGGAAGAGUGCCUAA